UACGUAGGGUGCAAGCGUUAUCCGGAAUUAUUGGGCGUAAAGAGCUCGUAGGCGGUUUGUCGCGUCUGCUGUGAAAACUGGAGGCUCAACCUCCAGCCUGCAGUGGGUACGGGCAAACUAGAGUGCGGUAGGGGAGAUUGGAAUUCCUGGUGUAGCGGUGAAAUGCGCAGAUAUCAGGAGGAACACCGGUGGCGAAGGCGGAUCUCUGGGCCGACACUGACGCUGAGGAGCGAAAGCGUGGGGAGCGAACAGG
rnacentral:rRNA from 1 species